rnacentral:rRNA from 1 species
AACGAACGCUGGCGGCAUGCCUAACACAUGCAAGUCGAACGAGACCUUCCGGUCUAGUUGCGCACGGCUGCGUAACGCCUGGGAACCUACCCUUAGGUUCGGAAUACUUCCCCGUAAGGGGUGCUCAUACCGCAUAAUCUCUUCCGACCAAAGAUUUAUGGCCUUUGGAUGGGCCCGCGUUGGUUUAGCUGGUUGGUAGUGUACAAGCCUGCCAAGGCGACGUUGCAUGGCUGGUCUGAGAGGAGGAUAAUCCACACUGGGACUGAGACACGGACUAGAAUGCUACGGAAGGGAGGAGUAGGGAAUAUUGGACGCGGGGCGAAAGCCUGAUCCAGCAAUGCCGCGUGAGAGAUGAAGCGGUUAGGGUUGUAAAGCUGUUUGUGCCGGGAUGAUAAUGACAGUACCGGGAGAAUAAGCUCCGGCUAACUCCGUG